rnacentral:lncRNA from 1 species
UAAUGCAGUUCGAUUUUGGAUUUGAAUCGCUAAAAUAUUUUAUUAACUAUAAAGUCCUAAAGAGUAGUUUAUAGGCAAAAGUAUUUUUAAAUAUUAUAUUUUGAGAGAAUUCUUGUCCCAAGAGUUGAAUCAUAUGAAGAUAUGAUUUAACAAAUUUUUUGUUGCAUUUUAUUUGACUCGAUUUGGAGCUCUAAAUCAAAAGUUGUAUUCAAAAGACAAAAAAUAGAAAAGAAAAAAAAAGAACAAAAAAAAGAGAAGAAAUGGCCGGCCUGGCCAAAUGGGCCGAACCGGCCCGUUCACUUCGCGCCGAGCCAGGCCGCAGCCCAGCACGCGCCGCCCGAGCCGCUGCCAUGCGUGCCCCGCCCGUCAGCUUCGCCUUCAACCUCCAACCGCCAGGCCGAUUCUUCCGGCCAUGAACCGCGCGCGCACGCCACGGCCACCUCCCCGAUUUGUCCGCGCCACGACCCCCUUUACCGAAACCGAGCGCAUCACUUUUUAGGCCCCGAGUUCCUCUUCUUUUUCCCCGUCCUCUCCCACUCGAUUCGCCCCCAGGCUGCCCGAAUCUAGCCGCCGCCGAGAUUCGCUCGCCGCCGGUGACCAAAAGGUUCGAAGCCGCCGCCACCCCCCUUUUCCUUCC